UACGAAGGGGGCUAGCGUUGUUCGGAAUUACUGGGCGUAAAGCGCGCGUAGGCGGACCUGCAAGUCGGGGGUGAAAGCCCGAGGCUCAACCUCGGAACUGCCUUCGAUACUGCGGGUCUCGAGUCCGGGAGAGGUGAGUGGAAUUCCUAGUGUAGAGGUGAAAUUCGUAGAUAUUAGGAAGAACACCGGUGGCGAAGGCGGGUCUCUGGGCCGAUAUUGACGCUGGAGGAGCGAAAGCGUGGGGAGCGAACAGG
rnacentral:rRNA from 1 species